rnacentral:rRNA from 1 species
UACGAAGGGGGGCUAGCGUUGCUCGGAAUCACUGGGCGUAAAGCGCACGUAGGCGGCUUCUUAAGUCAGGGGUGAAAUCCUGGAGCUCAACUCCAGAACUGCCUUUGAUACUGAGAAGCUUGAGUCCGGGAGAGGUGGGUGGAACUGCGAGUGUAGAGGUGAAAUUCGUAGAUAUUCGCAAGAACACCAGUGGCGAAGGCGGCUCACUGGCCCGAUACUGACGCUGAGGCACGAAAGCGUGGGGAGCAAACA